AUGUCCAAACUGAAAAGAAAGAGAGUGAGUGUAGCGGAGGAGAGCAAACCUGAGGGAAAGCCAGAGAUACGAAAUAUUUUUCAGUCUCUGCGCAAUCCUGGCGGCACGUCCUCCAGCAAGAGCUGCUCCAGUGCUGGACAUAGAGGUGAUGGAGGUGAGCCAUGGUGGGCUGCAACUGAACUAACAGCAGAGGAGAAGAUCUGGAUGACCCUGCAGGGCUUCUGUCCUGAAGCGUUCAGCUCUCCUGCAUCAGUGUAUUGUGUUCCAGAGCUGCCGCAGUUGCCUGAGGUUCUCUCAGAUGGACUGUGAUGGUCACCUGGCUCAGUGUUUGUCAGAGAUGAACAUGGACAUGGUUUGGUGAUUGAGUGACUGAUGUUUUGGAGAAGAGGAAACACAGAGCAGUGGAGCUCACAAUGAUACUGCAGUCUGGACCAGCAGAUUGUCUGUGUGAUGUGGUAACAUCCUCCAUUCUUCUGGGAAGUCUUUAUACUAGAUGUUGGAACAUUUGCUAUGAGGAGGAUUUGAUUGCAUUCAGACUAAGAGUGCAAGCAUCAGUGAGGUCAGGCAUGGUUGUUGGAUGAUUAGAUCUGACACACCAGCUUUUUUCCAAGGUACUGGAUGGCACUCCGUCAGUAAAAGGAAAAAGAAGAAUGUCCUGCCUGCUGUGAAGCAUGGGGGUGGAGGCAUCAUGCUUUGCAGCAUCAUGCUUUUGCAGCUCAUUCCGAACAGUGCUCUAUAAUCAGGGAUUAGAGCUCAGUUUCAGACACAUUAUGAUUUAGGAAUCUCUGUGAAAUAUUUUAUAUCACAGUAUCAUUAAACAAUGAUCUCUGUUUACUCUAUUUUGCUGAAAAAAGCUGCAGAUUAAACUAAACACAGAAGCAAACAGUGUAUGUGUUCUUUUCUUAUUAAAAUUCUCAAGUCCAAACUGUAGUUGUUUUGGGAUUUGUUCCACAGCACCUCUCAAGCAAAC
rnacentral:lncRNA from 1 species